rnacentral:rRNA from 1 species
ACCAUGAUUAAAGGUAUUCCGGUAGACGAUGGGGAUGCGUUCCAUUAGAUAGUAGGCGGGGGUAACGGCCCACCUAGUCUUCGAUGGAUAGGGGUUCUGAGAGGAAGGUCCCCCACAUUGGAACUGAGACACGGUCCAAACUCCUACGGGAGGCAGCAGUGAGGAAUAUUGGUCAAUGGGCGAGAGCCUGAACCAGCCAAGUAGCGUGAAGGAUGACUGCCCUAUGGGUUGUAAACUUCUUUUAUAAAGGAAUAAAGUCGGGUAUGGAUACCCGUUUGCAUGUACUUUAUGAAUAAGGAUCGGCUAACUCCGUGCCAGCAGCCGCGGUAAUACGGAGGAUCCGAGCGUUAUCCGGAUUUAUUGGGUUUAAAGGGAGCGUAGAUGGAUGUUUAAGUCAGUUGUGAAAGUUUGCGGCUCAACCGUAAAAUUGCAGUUGAUACUGGAUAUCUUGAGUGCAGUUGAGGUAGGCGGAAUUCGUGGUGUAGCGGUGAAAUGCUUAGAUAUCACGAAGAACUCCGAUUGCGAAGGCAGCCUGCUAAGCUGCAACUGACAUUGAGGCUCGAAAGUGUGGGUAUCAAACAGGAUUAGAUACCCUGGUAGUCCACACGGUAG